UACGUAGGGCGCAAGCGUUAUCCGGAAUUAUUGGGCGUAAAGCGCGUGUAGGCGGCUGGGUAGGUCCGCUGUGAAAACUUGAGGCUCAACCUCAAGGGGUCGGUGGAAACCCUCCAGCUAGAGUCCGGAAGAGGAGAAUGGAAUUCCUGGUGUAGCGGUGAAAUGCGCAGAUAUCAGGAAGAACACCCGUGGCGAAGGCGGUUCUCUGGGACGGUACUGACGCUGAGACGCGAAAGCGUGGGGAGCGAACAGG
rnacentral:rRNA from 1 species